UGGUGAUUUUUAAACUAAGUGUGUUAUAAACAGACAGACGUUUUUUUUGUUGCAGGGAAGUAUAAUUCUUUCACGUGAAAGUACAUUUUAGAAAAGCUACAUUCUGCAGAGAUGUUGGAGGAGGAGCAUACAGACAGACAGCACCAACUUGCCAUGUUAUGUCAGAAGCUCGACCGAAUUAAAACAAGAUAUCUAAUCGAAGAUGACACUGAUAAUAUCAACCAGGCCAUUGGCUCAAAUUCCCCUGAAACGUGUCUCGCAUAUCUGAAUGUACUUGGAGAAGAAAGGAG